rnacentral:rRNA from 1 species
UACAGAGGUCCCAAGCGUUGUUCGGAUUCACUGGGCGUAAAGGGUGCGUAGGCGGUCGGGUAAGUCUGUCGUGAAAUCUCCGAGCCCAACUCGGAAACUGCGUCGUAUACUAUUCGGCUAGAGGAAUGGAGGGGAGACUGGAAUUCUCGGUGUAGCAGUGAAAUGCGUAGAUAUCGAGAGGAACACCAGUGGCGAAGGCGAGUCUCUGGACAUUUCCUGACGCUGAGGCACGAAAGCCAGGGGAGCAAACGGG